UGAAAAGACCAAUACGGAUUGCACAGCCAACAACUAUGGUUUGCAUGCCCUGCCGAAGGACCCUAUCACGCGGAAUAGGUGGUUGGAGUUUAUUGCGGUCUCCAGUGGUGAUAAAGUGCACAGUUGGGUGCCAGACUGAUCCCCUGGUCAUGAAUGGACCUACCAAAAGGAGCAAAGCUUGUAAGGUAAGACCUCAGAAUAAAAGUUGUCAUGCGACACAAUUACUCUUGUGACACCUAUGUUGCCAUUCUCCCUCAACGAUGAAAAGGACACGCCAUCAUGAGGCCUCUGAUAGUGGCCGCGUUACUGGACUGAUGACACAGUCGGCUUCAACAACGACAGGGAAGUGCAUUAGCAAAAAGCUUUGUCCUUUCUUUAGAACAAAAUGCAAUGUACUACUUGGCUGUCUAUUAUAUCACCCUGUCACAGGCCCUCCCUGUCAACACAACCUCAUAAGAUUGCCUGCUACAGUUGUUCGAGAGCUGUCCAGUUUAUAGCCAAACAUGCAGCAUAGAGAAGACCAACAAGGGGGCCCUCAUCAGCAUCAUGCAGACAUGCCCUGGCUGUGAGCAUUCCUAUGAAUGGAACAGUCAAUCACAUGUUGGCAAGUAUCUGGUUAGCAACCUUCACCUAUCGGCGGCAACUGCUUUCACAGGGUCACCUUCUGUGCAAAUACAGAAGGUAACCUAUUUCAUUACUUUGAUAAAUUAUGUUUCACAAUUGGGUUAUCAAAUGUAUGUAAACUGAUAUUAUUUGUUGCUUAUUUUCUAAUUCUUAGAUGCAUGUAGUG